rnacentral:rRNA from 1 species
GGUAGUCCACGCCCUAAACGUUGUGAACUAGGUGUUGGUCGGAUUGACCCGAUCAGUGCCGCAGCUAACGCAUUAAGUUCACCGCCUGGGGACUACGGCCGCAAGGUUAAAACUCAAAGGAAUAGGCGGGGCCCGCACAAGCAGCGGAGCGUGUGGUUUAAUUCGACGCAACGCGAAGAACCUUACCCAGGCUUGACAUGCACGGAAACCCCCGUGAAAGCGGGCUGCCCGCGAGGGCGUCGUGCACAGGUGCUGCAUGGCUGUCGUCAGCUCGUGCCGUGAGGUGUUGGGUUAAG